AGUUUCCACAAUAGAUACCCUCAAGAAUUGGACUCCUCUCUUGCAGCAGAAUAUUUAAUUAUUCAAAAGCAAAGGAUUGCUACAUGCCCAUCAUAUCACUUGAGGAGGGUUUGAAACGGACUCUAGAGUCAUUUUCACACUUUAACGGAGGACCAUCUAAUGCUCACAGAUUUCUUGGAGGUGGAAGGGGUACGAGCAUUCACUUUCUAUCUAUGUAGCACUCCCAAACCUAAUUACCCUGCA
rnacentral:misc_RNA from 1 species